rnacentral:rRNA from 1 species
GACGAACGCUGGCGGCGUGCUUAACACAUGCAAGUCGAACGGAAAGGCCCUGCUUUUGUGGGGUGCUCGAGUGGCGAACGGGUGAGUAACACGUGAGUAACCUGCCCCUGACUUUGGGAUAACUCCAGGAAACUGGGGCUAAUACCGGAUAGGAGCUCCUGCUGCAUGGUGGGGGUUGGAAAGUUUCGGCGGUUGGGGAUGGACUCGCGGCUUAUCAGCUUGUUGGUGGGGUAGUGGCUUACCAAGGCUUUGACGGGUAGCCGGCCUGAGAGGGUGACCGGCCACAUUGGGACUGAGAUACGGCCCAGACUCCUACGGGAGGCAGCAGUGGGGAAUAUUGCACAAUGGGCGGAAGCCUGAUGCAGCAACGCCGCGUGCGGGAUGACGGCCUUCGGGUUGUAAACCGCUUUCGCCUGUGACGAAGCGUGAGUGACGGUAAUGGGUAAAGAAGCACCGGCUAACUACGUG